rnacentral:rRNA from 1 species
CAGCCGCCACGGUAAUACGUAGGGUGCUAGCGUUGCUCGGAAUGACUGGGCGUAAAGGGCGCGUAGGCGGUGGCCAAAGUCAGGCGUGAAAUUCCCGGGCUCAACCAGGGGGCUGCGCUUGAUACUUGGUUGCUUGAGUGGGGAAGGGGGUCGUGGAAUUCCCAGUGUAGAGGUGAAAUUCGUAGAUAUUGGGAAGAACACCGGUGGCGAAGGCGGCGACCUGGUCCUUGACUGACGCUGAGGCGCGAAAGCGUGAGGAGCAAACAGGAUUAGAUACCCGUGUAGUCCCUGUCUCUUAUAC